rnacentral:rRNA from 1 species
GGCGCGACGCAUACGGAAAGCUGCGGCAAGUACGGAAAAGCUCUGGGACGUCUUCCAGGAAAAGCUUCUAGCAUAUCGAGAUGGGCCCGUACCGAAAAUGGACACACAUGGGCAAGGAGAGGAUCCUGAGGUGAGCGAGAGAACUAUAGCUAAGGAACUCUGCAAAAUGACCCCGUAACCUAGGGAGAAGGGGUGCUCGUCAGAGACGAGCCGCAGAAAAACGGCCCAAGCGACUGUUUACCAAAAACACAGCUCUCUGCGAAGGCGCAAGCCGAAGUAUAGGGGGUGACGCCUGCCCGGUGCUGGAAGGUCAAGGGGAGUGGUCAGCGCAAGCGAAGCCAUGAUCCGAAGCCCCAGUAAACGGCGGCCGUAACUAUAACGGUCCUAAGGUAGCGAAAUUCCUUGUCAGGUAAGUUCUGACCCGCACGAAAGGCGUAACGAUUUGGGCGCUGUCUCGGCUGUAGACUCGGUGAAGUCUUAGUACCUGUGAAGAUGCAGGUUGCCCGCGACUAGACGGAAAGACCCCAUGGAGCUUCACUGCAGGUUGACAUUGGGCCUGGGUGCAUGAUGUACAGGAUAGGUGGGAGGCAGAGAGACGGGUUCGCCAGGAUCCGAGGAGCCGCCGUUGGGAUACCACCCUUCAUGCAUCUAGGUUCUAACCGGAGGCCAUGAACUGGCCACGGGACAGUGUCAGUCGGGCAGUUUGACUGGGGCGGUCGCCUCCCAAAGAGUAACGGAGGCGCCCAAAGAUACCCUCAGCGUGGAUGGAAACCACGCAUCGAGUGCAAAGGCAUAAGGGUGUCUGACUGCGAGACAUACAGGUCGAGCAGGGACGAAAGUCGGGCUUAGUGAUCCGGCGGUUCCGAAUGGAAGGGCCGUCGCUCAACGGAUAAAAGCUACCCUGGGGAUAACAGGCUGAUCUCCCCCAAGAGUUCACAUCGACGGGGAGGUUUGGCACCUCGAUGUCGGCUCAUCGCAUCCUGGAGCUGAAGUCGGUUCCAAGGGUUGGGCUGUUCGCCCAUUAAAGCGGUACGCGAGCUGGGUUCAGAACGUCGUGAGACAGUUCGGUCCCUAUCUGUCGUGGGCGCAGGAGGUCUGAGGAGAGCUGCCCUCAGUACGAGAGGACCGGGGUGGACGGACCGAUGGUGCACCAGUUGUCACGCCAGUGGCACAGCUGGGUAGCCAAGUCCGGAAGGGAUAAGCGCUGAAGGCAUCUAAGCGCGAAGCCCCCUCCAAGAUGAGACCUCCCAUUGCGCAAGCAAGUAAGACCCCUCGAAGACGACGAGGUUGAUAGACCGGGAGUGCAAGCAUGGCGACAUGUUCAGCGGACCGGCACUAAUAGGUCGAGGACUUGACCG